UGGCUAGAAGUUGUUGGUUUACUGGA
rnacentral:piRNA from 1 species